CACGGGGGGAGCAAGCGUUGUUCGGAAUUACUGGGCGUAAAGGGCGUGUAGGCGGUCAGGUAAGUGGGAUGUGAAAUCCUCCGGCUCACCCGGAGACCUGCAUCCCAAACUGUCUGGCUCGAGUAUGGGAGAGGAUGAGGGAAUUCCUGGUGUAGCGGUGAAAUGCGUAGAUAUCAGGAGGAACACCGGUGGCGAAAGCGCUCAUCUGGCCCAAUACUGACGCUGAGGCGCGAAAGCUAGGGGAGCAAACGGG
rnacentral:rRNA from 1 species